rnacentral:tRNA from 1 species
CAAGAAAAGGUCAGGAUAGCUCAGUUGGUAGAGCAGAGGACUGAAAUC